CAGUCGCCGCGGUAAUACGCAUGUCACAAGCGUUAUCCGGAUUUAUUGGGCGUAAAGCGCGUCUAGGUGGUUAUGUAAGUCUGAUGUGAAAAUGCAGGGCUCAACUCUGUAUUGCGUUGGAAACUGUGUAACUAGAGUACUGGAGAGGUAAGCGGAACUACAAGUGUAGAGGUGAAAUUCGUAGAUAUUUGUAGGAAUGCCGAUGGGGAAGCCAGCUUACUGGACAGAUACUGACGCUAAAGCGCGAAAGCGUGGGUAGCAAACAGGAUUAGAUACCCCUGUAGUCCCUGUCUCUUAUACA
rnacentral:rRNA from 1 species